CCAUCGUUGGUGAAGGCAUUAGGCGCGUCGGGCACGAAGUGGCUCGCGUCGAACUCGCUGCCGCUCACCGCGCCGUUUGCGCUGUAGCCCGCUUUCCUGGAUAAGUUGGGAAUAAGAAUUUAAAUCAGGGCAGGAGGUUGACGAUCUCGAUACCAACCUAGCUUCUCUAAGUGCAUAAGCUGACUGCACGAGAACAACUCCACACACGAUGGCAGGAAGACGCGCCACGUAGCACGCCAGCUCAGCACCACCGUAUACUCCUUGUAGACCCUGGAACCAUAAACAAUAUAUGUCUUGUAUAUUUAGGAUAAAUAACAACAACGGUGGUUUACUAUUUAACUCUUUUAUGUACUGCCUUGUGUAUCCCCUACAUAUUGCUUAUUUCGAUACGAAUAAAGUAGGUAAUGAUAAUCUUUCCGCCUAUUUUUAUAUUUUUAAGUGUAUUUAAAAUGUAAAUAAAAUGUAUUUAUAUGAAUAAACGAAUGAAAUCUU